AGCGAACGCUGGCGGCAGGCCUAACACAUGCAAGUCGAACGAACCUUUCGGGGUUAGUGGCGGACGGGUGAGUAACACGUGGGAACGUGCCUUUAGGUUCGGAAUAACUCAGGGAAACUUGUGCUAAUACCGAAUGUGCCCUUCGGGGGUAAGAUUUAUCGCCUUUAGAGCGGCCCGCGUCUGAUUAGCUAGUUGGUUGAGGUAAUGGCUCACCAAGGCGACGAUCAGUAGCUGGUCUGAGAGGAUGAUCAGCCACAUUGGGACUGAGACACGGCCCAAACUCCUACGGGAGGCAGCAGUGGGGAAUCUUGCGCGAUGGGCGAAAGCCUGACGCAGCCAUGCCGCGUGAAUGAUGAAGGUCUUAGUAUUGUAAAAUUCUUUCACCGGGGACGAUAAUGACGGUACCCGGAGAAGAAGCCCCGGCUAACUUCGUG
rnacentral:rRNA from 1 species